rnacentral:rRNA from 1 species
AGAGUUUGAUCCUGGCUCAGGAUGAACGCUAGCGGCAGGCUUAAUACAUGCAAGUCGAGGGGGAUUAACUGGGUAGUAAUACUCGGUUAUGAGACCGGCAAACGGGUGCGGAACACGUACGCAACCUUCCCAAAACUGGUGAAUAGCCCUCCGAAAGGAGGAUUAAUACACCGUAACUUAAUGAAGUGGCAUCACUUUAUUAAUAUAGCUCCGGCGGUUUUGGAUGGGCGUGCGCCUGAUUAGGUAGUUGGCGGGGUAACGGCCCACCAAGCCUACGAUCAGUAACUGGUGUGAGAGCACGACCAGUCACACGGGCACUGAGACACGGGCCCGACUCCUACGGGAGGCAGCAGUAAGGAAUAUUGGUCAAUGGACGCAAGUCUGAACCAGCCAUGCCGCGUGAAGGAUGACGGCCCUCUGGGUUGUAAACUUCUUUUAUCUGGGACGAAAAAAGAUCAUUCUUGAUCACUUGACGGUACCAGAGGAAUAAGCACCGGCUAACUCCGUGCCAGCAGCCGCGGUAAUACGGAGGGUGCAAGCGUUAUCCGGAUUUACUGGGUUUAAAGGGUGCGUAGGUGGGCCUGUAAGUCAGUGGUGAAAUCUUCGAGCUUAACUCGGAAACUGCCAUUGAUACUAUAGGUCUUGAAUCAUCUGGAGGUGAGCGGAAUAUGUCAUGUAGCGGUGAAAUGCUUAGAUAUGACAUAGAACACCGAUUGCGAAGGCAGCUCACUACGGAUGUAUUGACACUGAGGCACGAAAGCGUGGGGAUCAAACAGGAUUAGAUACCCUGGUAGUCG